GACGAACGCGGGCGGCGUGCUUAACACAUGCAAGUCGAACGGAAAGGCCCUGCUUUUGUGGGGUGCUCGAGUGGCGAACGGGUGAGUAACACGUGAGUAACCUGCCCUUGACUUGGGGAUAACUUCAGGAAACUGGGGCUAAUACCGGAUAGAAGCUCCUGCUGCAUGGUGGGGGUUGGAAAGUUUCGGUGGUUGGGGAUGGACUCGCGGCUUAUCAGCUUGUUGGUGGGGUAGUGGCUUACCAAGGCUUUGACGGGUAGCCGGCCUGAGAGGGUGACCGGCCACAUUGUGACUGUCUUACUGCCCAGACUCCUACGGCCGGCAGCAGUGGUGACUAUUGCACAAUGGGCGGAAGCCUGAUGCGACAACGCCGCGUGCGUGAUGACGGCCUUCGGGUUGUAAGCCGCUGUCACCGGUGACGAAGCCUGCUUGUCGGUAAUAGGUAAUGAAGCACCGGCUAACUACGUG
rnacentral:rRNA from 1 species